UACGUAGGGUGCAAGCGUUAUCCGGAAUUAUUGGGCGUAAAGAGCUCGUAGGCGGUUUGUCGCGUCUGCUGUGAAAACCCGAGGCUCAACCUCGGGCCUGCAGUGGGUACGGGCAGACUAGAGUGGCGGUAGGGGAGAUUGGAAUUCCUGGUGUAGCGGUGGAAUGCGCAGAUAUCAGGAGGAACACCAAUGGCGAAGGCAGAUCUCUGGGCCGUAACUGACGCUGAGGAGCGAAAGCAUGGGGAGCGAACAGG
rnacentral:rRNA from 1 species